rfam:Picea glauca, whole genome shotgun sequence.
GUCAUUUUAGUAUAGCGGUGAGUAUUCCCUCCUGUCACACGGGUGACCCGGGUUCGAUCCCUGGCAACGACG